GCAGCAUUGCAGAAGGGAGGAGGUGGAGAUUCUGUCCUCAGUGCCUAGGGCCCUGCCUGGAUCUGGUUUUGCAGAGGGGAGGACGUAGAGAUUCUGUCCUCAGUGCCCAGGGCCCUGCCUGGAUCUGGUUUUGCAGAGGGGAGGACGUAGAGAUUCUGUCCUCAGCGCCCAGGGCCCUGCCUGGAUCUGGUUUUGCAGCUCCAGGGGAAACGUUUUGCACAAAUUCUCACUGGGAGCAUUAUCAGGGCUGCAGCACUUCAGUCUCUCCUGAUCUGAAUCCUUUUAACAUUAGCUGUGAUGCUGAGAAGGAUGAAAUUGAUGACACCAACAUCUGGUGGAAGACAAAAACCAGAGGGAUUUCCACCCAGGCAGAGCCCCUCCGCAGGCCUCCCCUCUUUGUGGCCUGAGGUCGGAGAGGCCUCUGGAGCAAGCCAGCGGAUGGAAUUCUCAGUUUUCUUCCAUUUGAUUAUUUUCCUAUUUUGACGUCUUUGAAAAAUGGCUCAGCCUUAUGGUGCAUGCGUUUUCUGAUUGCUUUUGUCUUUGUUUUAUUCUGAAUCAAGGACCGUGGCCACUGUGGGCUCCUCAUCCAGGACGUGGGGGCCCUCCGGGGCCUCAGUCCAUCCAUGCUGCAGUACAUGGUGAUUCUCAUGCAGAGGAUGAUCUCAGGGAUCAGCUUGAGCUGGCAGAGAAUUAAAUUAUAUGGUUUAUAAGAGUCCUGCCUCAGGGUCAGUGACACCAGGCCUGUCUCUGCUGCUAGCAAGGCCGACUUUCUUAUGUGCUGUCAUCGUGGUAAAAGCCUUGCCCACGUGAUGAAGACCCUGGACGGCUCUACUUGAGACAGAUUUCAGCUACGUUGCCUGGGAGUCUCUGGUACUUCUUCAAGGUUCUACUGAAGACAAUGACGUCAUCCAAGUACCUUGCAGUGCCUAAGUAGCUCUUGCCGCGGGAGCUCUGAGACCCCCUGUUAUCUAUUUUCGAAUUGGCCAAGGACCCCCGGCCAGGCAGGGGAUGCUCUGCCCAUCCUCGUCAGCCCUCGUGUCUUGUGAUCCUCCCCCAGCCUCCUGGCAAGCAUCCCUGUGCUUUCCGCGGGUGAGCGUGGCUGAGCUCAGUCUCGCUUACUACAACGGCAGGCACGAGGUCUGCGGAACUAAGAAGGCUCCUCUUUGCUCACUGGCCUUUCCUUUAAGUCCCUGGUCACUAACCUCUGGCAAGACAAUCCUUCUUGUGUUUUCUGGCGAUGGACUUGAGUGAUUACAAUGUGCCCUAGAGAGGACAGAUGCAUGGCUGUGGAGUCUUGUUCUGUGAUAUGUCAGGUAUGUGCUUGGGCGCGCGGAGGCUGCAGGAGGUGGACAGGAAUGGUCUUUCUCUUGCUCUGAGUCGCAUGUGUGGGCCAGCCCACGGGUUCUGUGGAGGAGAAUCCAGCUGCCCACCUGGCUGAGUCUAGCCCUGGGCUGGCGAUGGCCGAACCCCAGUUCCAUUCCCGGACCUUCCCUAGGCUGCUGGGUGGGUUCCCUGGCCACUGUCGCUGGGCUAAUCCAUUCUAUCUUCUCCUGGGGCGAGGCCAUUGCCGUGCUGUGCUGGUGCUGGCUCUUCAGGCAGCUCUUCAGCUCCGUGGCUCCCGGCCCAGCCCAGGCCUAACACAGGCCUGUCCCUAGUGUUCGUGCACUGAGCUUUGUGUCUAUUGCUGGUUUUUCUUUUCUUUUAAAACUUACUUCGCAGAAGGAAUUCGGCCUGAGCAGCUGAGCUUCCGUGGUAGCCUCUCCUGCUCAAAGCCGUCGUUUGCUCCCAUAUACCUGGCCUGCCAGUUUCCAUUCUCUCUUUCCCUUGUUUCAUCUUUUCUGCAGUAGGUCCUCUAGUUUCAACCACAGGUGUUUACAGUGUUGCAGUUUUAAUUUGUCGUUGUUGCAUUUAGUUUACUUGACGCACGUUCAAAACUGCAAAAUGCUGGUUCCUACCCGUCUCUGAUGUCACCAAAGGCUGCCCAGAGGCCUGCAGCACAUUGACGAUGGUCUUAGUAUUACACAGCUGUCUGACCAGUACCACAAAUCCAGAGUCCAAGCAGCUCAGGUUUGCCUUCUCCCUGUCUGUGUGGGUCCAGCGCCCUGGGCUCAGCAGGGCCUCCUGCUCCUGCUCCUGUAGGGUGGGCUGGGCCUUCCCACACGGGCCUGGGGAGGAGCCUCUCCUAGGUGCUGGCAGGGCCCUGGCCUUUACUUAUUCCCUCUGAUGCCAGCCAGCUACUGCAGCCCUGGUGGCGUCUCCCUGGGGGUGCCCGGGUGCAGGUGUCCGCUGCCGGGCCGUGGGUGUCUCAUUCUGUGUCCGGACCUCUCUGUGAUGUGAACCUUGGGCUUUUUUUUUUUUUUUUUUUUUUUUUCAGAUGUUAAGGGAGUCCACCACAUGUUUCCAUGGUAACGGCUCCUUUUCCUGGUUUACUGGAGGGUUCUGACGGUCAAGGCCUCCUGUGUAUUGACUGGGUUAUCGCCUGGGGGUUUUAUUGCUUUGUCUUUUACAUUUAGUUUUACUGUUCCUGGAACUGAAUUUGUUUGUGAUGUGAGUCAGAAAUCCUGUCACAUUUUUCCACGUGGAUAUCCAGGGCCCCCGCCGUUUGUGGGAAGGCCGCACCUUCUGCCCGCUCUGCUGUCCAUCCGCGUGCCCAUCUCCAUGGGUUUCUCUCUGCACGGCUUGUUCUGUCCUGCAUGUCCAUCCUUGAGAUCGUUUUUCUCUGGCUUAAUGAUUACAGCUGUACGGUGAGUCUACAGUUAUUCCAAGUUUAUUUAGACAAGAUUUUCUUAACCUUGUAAAUUAUUCUAGGGUUUUUUAUAUUAUUAUUAAACCCAUAGGACUCUUUGGUGAAAACUGACAUAGUUAAAAUGGUUGAGUCUUUCAGUUCAAUUAGGUCUUUCUUUUCUGUAAUAUUUUCUGGACUUCUCCAUUCAAGUCUCAUGCAUUUUUUUGUUAGGAGUGUUGCUAAGAUUUAACUUUUCUAACCCACUGUAAAAGUGUUACCAGGGGGUCCUUGCUCCCAGAACUCCUAAGAUGGUGGCAGGUCGCUUCCAAAAUGGCGGCGGCCCACUUCCAAGAUGGUGGCAAGCCUACUGUUCUCUGACCUGGGGUUCUUGGCCUCACGGAUUCCAAGGAAUGGAAUCUUGGGCCAUCCGGUGAGUGUUACAGCUCUAUUAGAAGCCGUGGGUCACGGAAGAGAACCAUGGAACCCAGUGACUAGUGUUCAGCUCAAUUAGGACGAACUGAGGCACUUAGCCAUGCAGAAACAAUGGCAAGACCUUAGCCUGAUCCAUCGGGAGUGGCAAUGGGCGCCUCGCUGGAUCAGGAGCACAGCGGACACCCUGCCGGCUCUGGAGAGAUGGAAGUCAGCGGCGGGUCUACGACGGCAGCAAACAGCAGUGGUGGAGGGCGAGCGAAAGCUCAGCUCCAGCCGUAACAAACACGGACCAGAAGAGUGCAGUUGCAAGAUUUAAUAGAGUGAAAUAGAGUGAAAACAGAGCUCCCAUACAAAGGAAGGGGACCCAAAGAGGGUAGCCAUUGCCAGCUCCAAUGCCUGGGUUUAUAUCCCAAUCACUGUCCCUCCCGCUGUGCUCUCAGGCAGUAGAUGAUUGGCUAUUUCUUUACCUCCUGUUUUUGCCUUAUUAGCAUUUUAGUGAGCUCUGUGAUUGGUCAGGUGUGAGCUAAGUUGCAAGCCUGGUGUUUAAAGGUGGAUGUGGUCACCUUCUCAGCUAGGCUUAGGGAUUCUUAGCCUAGGAAAUCCAGCUAGUCCUGUCUCUCAAAAGUAUCUUUUACAUUUUAUUUUCUAAUUGUUUAUUGCUUGUAUGUUAAAAUAAAGUGAAUAUUUAUGUUGAUUUUUAUUCAGCAUCUUGUUAAAAUUCAGUUGACUUUACAAAUUCAUUUUCAUACUUUAUUGUAUACUUUAUAUAUACAAUCAUGUGAUCUGUGUAUAAAGGUGGGUUUUUAUAUUUCUCUCCAAUUCUUACACAUUUUCUGUUGUUCCAGUUUCAUUUUCAUGGCUGGGAUCUGCAGGACGAGCUUACAUAUAGGUAAUGAUAAUGGACUUCCUUGCUUCAUUUUCCAUCUCAGGAUGGACAGUGUUCAACCUUCUAUGACUAAUUACAGCCAUGCUGUAGGCUUUUCAUAGAUACCCUUUUUUUUUGACUCAGGAAUUACAUUCUCUUCUUAUUCCUGGUUUGCUAAACCUUUUGUAUUAAUGGUGUCAACUAUGAAUAUAUAUUGCAUUUCAUCAAAUACUUUUUUUCUGCAUCAAUCAAUACGAUUUAUCUUUCUUCUGUUAAUAUGGUGAUUUACAUUAAUUUGUCUUAGAAUGUUCAUUUCUUUCAGGUCCUUGCUGAUUUUUUUGCCUGCCUUUUCCAUUAGUUCCUGAGACAAGCAUUUUAAAACCAAACAACAUAACUGAGGAGCUGUCUGUCACCCUUCGUGAUUCUGAAAACACGUGCUGCAUGUGUUUUGAGGUUGUUAUUUGGAGCAUGUGCAUUUACAAUUGUCUUACUGCCUUUGCAGUUUGAGUUUUUAUUAAAUGUUUCUCUUCAUCUCUGGUCAUGCUUUAUGCCGUAGAGUCUGUUAUUAGCAGAGCUACUCCAGGUUUAUUUUUCAUGAUAUUAUUUUCACUUCUUUUUACUUUCCAACUUUUAUAUCAUUAUGUUGAAGGUAUCUCUUUUGUUAAUCACAUAGUUGCAUUGUGUUUUCUUUUUUCAAAUAUGUAUGAGCAGCAUAAAAUUGGAUGUUCCUUUGAAACAACAGCAGUCAGAAGUCCAUGAGGAGGUGUCUUCUGACUGCGAGGAUAAGGGUGGAUCACCUUAAUGCAAUCAGGGAAUGAUGUGUUAGAAGCAUCUAUAGUUCCUGCUUCCCCUAAUUUCUAGCUGUAGCCAUUUGAAGAUUCUAAGCAAGUCCUCAACUGUUCAGCAGAGCCUCUGGUCCAGCAUGAGACCAAAACCCAGGUAUUGUUUCUCUGCUCCUUUGAGACUUCAGAAACCUCUGCUGUGGUUUUCAGUGUCUCAGAAUUGGCCAUCAUCUCUAUCAAAACAGCCUCAGCGGCUGAGCUCCUCGCCCCGUCUCCUUCCCCACAUAGGAGCUGGUCUCGCCCUUGGCCCUCCUAACUCUCCAGCGUGUCCAGCCUGACUGGGAGAAACGUCCUGUUCAGGCUCCCAGUUUCUCCGCCUGUGCUGAGACCUUGUUUCCCAGGACCUCGGUGGACUUGGCUUUCAUGACUGGUGCCUCACCCCAGCACAUGUGCCUAAAAUAACAGAAAAAUACAGUGCCUGCAUGUUGGGAGCAAGCCCCCCAAAGUCUGGCCCCAAAACUGGCCAUAAAUAAAAUCUCUGCAGCAAUGUAACAUGUCCAUAAUGGCCAUAAAGCCCAAGCUGGAAGGUUGUGGGUUUACAGGAAUGACGGUAAGGAACACCUGGCCCGCUCAGGGCGGAAAACUGGUUAAAGGCAUUUUUAAGCCAUAAACAAUUAGCCUGAGCGAUCUGUGCCUUAAGGGCGUGUUCCUGCUGCAAUUAAUUCAGCCCAUCCCUUCGUUUCCCUUAAGGGAUACUUUCAGUUAAUUUAAUAUCCAUAGAAACAAUGCUAAUGACUGGUUUGCUGUUAAUAAAUAUGUGGGUAAAUCUCUGUUCGGGGCUCUCAGCUCUGAAGGCUGUGAGACCCCUGAUAUCCCACUUUACACCUCUGUAU
rnacentral:lncRNA from 1 species